rnacentral:lncRNA from 14 species
CAUUUCUGACCCCCAAAGCUUUAGCAGCACCGUCUGAGAAACAGAUGCCCCCGAAAUCCCUUUUAAUACGGCCAGGGUGCCUUAAAACUGAACUGCAAUGCUCUAUGGCUGGACACAUUGAAGGAUGCUAGGGACACGUG